rnacentral:rRNA from 1 species
UACGUAGGGUGCAAGCGUUAAUCGGAAUUACUGGGCGUAAAGCGUGCGCAGGCGGUUAUGUAAGACAGGUGUGAAAUCCCCGGGCUUAACCUGGGAACUGCAUUUGUGACUGCAUAGCUAGAGUACGGUAGAGGGGGAUGGAAUUCCGCGUGUAGCAGUGAAAUGCGUAGAUAUGCGGAGGAACACCGAUGGCGAAGGCAAUCCCCUGGACCUGUACUGACGCUCAUGCACGAAAGCGUGGGGAGCA